GAUGAACGCUGGCGGCGUGCCUAAUACAUGCAAGUCGAGCGAAUGAAGAGGAGCUUGCUCCUCUGAUUUAGCGGCGGACGGGUGAGUAACACGUGGGUAAUCUGCCUGUAAGACGGGGAUAACUCCGGGAAACCGGGGCUAAUACCGGAUAAUAAGAAGAAACGCAUGUUUCUUUUUUGAAAGUCGGUUUCGGCUGACACUUACAGAUGAGCCCGCGGCGCAUUAGCUAGUUGGUGAGGUAACGGCUCACCAAGGCUACGAUGCGUAGCCGACCUGAGAGGGUGAUCGGCCACACUGGGACUGAGACACGGCCAAGACUCCUACGGGAGGCAGCAGUAGGGAAUCUUCGGCAAUGGGCGAAAGCCUGACCGAGCAACGCCGCGUGGGCGAUGAAGGCCUUCGGGUCGUAAAGCUCUGUUGUUAGAGAAGAACAAGUACGAGAGUAACUGCUCGUACCUUGACGGUACCUAACCAGAAAGCCACGGCUAACUACGUGCCAGCCGCCGCGGUAACAC
rnacentral:rRNA from 1 species